UCCGACACUGGUGCGCGAGAUGAGUAUUCUAAGGCGCUUGAGAGAACUCAGGAGAAGGAACUCGGCAAAUUGACACCGUAACUUCGGAAGAAGGUGUGCCUUUAGUAGGUGAACCUGUACAAGGGGAGCCCAAUGAGGUUGCAAAAAAUCGGUGGCUGCGACUGUUUAUUAAAAACAUAGCACUCUGCAAACACGAAAGUGGACGUAUAGGGUGUGACGCCUGCCCGGUGCUGGAAGAUUAAAUGAUGGGGUGCAAGCUCUUGAUUGAAGUCCCAGUAAACGGCGGCCGUAACUAUAACGGUCCUAAGGUAGCGAAAUUCCUUGUCGGGUAAGUUCCGACCUGCACGAAUGGCGUAACGAUGGCCACACUGUCUCCUCCUGAGACUCAGCGAAGUUGAAAUGUUUGUGAUGAUGCAAUCUCCCCGCGGAAAGACGGAAAGACCCCAUGAACCUUUACUGUAGCUUUGUAUUGGACUUUGAACAGAUCUGUGUAGGAUAGGUGGGAGGCUUUGAAGCAGGGUCGCUAGAUCUUGUGGAGCCAACGUUGAAAUACCACCCUGGUGUGUUUGAGGUUCUAACCUAGGUCCAUUAUCUGGAUCGGGGACAGUGCAUGGUAGGCAGUUUGACUGGGGCGGUCUCCUCCCAAAGCGUAACGGAGGAGUUCGAAGGUACGCUAGUUACGGUCGGACAUCGUGACGAUAGUGCAAUGGCAUAAGCGUGCUUAACUGCGAGACUGACAAGUCGAGCAGAUGCGAAAGCAGGACAUAGUGAUCCGGUGGUUCUGUAUGGAAGGGCCAUCGCUCAACGGAUAAAAGGUACUCUGGGGAUAACAGGCUGAUACCGCCCAAGAGUUCAUAUCGACGGCGGUGUUUGGCACCUCGAUGUCGGCUCAUCUCAUCCUGGGGCUGUAGCCGGUCCCAAGGGUAUGGCUGUUCGCCAUUUAAAGAGGUACGUGAGCUGGGUUUAAAACGUCGUGAGACAGUUUGGUCCCUAUCUUCCGUGGGCGCUGCAGAUUUGAGGAAGCCUGCUCCUAGUACGAGAGGACCGGAGUGGACAUACCUCUGGUGUAUCGGUUGUCACGCCAGUGGCAUUGCCGAGUAGCUAAGUAUGGAAGAGAUAAACGCUGAAAGCAUCUAAGCGUGAAACUCGUUUCAAGAUGAGAUCUGCCGGGGCCUUGAGCCCCCUAAAGAGUCGUUCAAGACCAGGACGUUGAUAGGUCAGGUGUGGAAGCGCAGUAAUGCGUUCAGCUAACUGAUACUAAUUGCUCGUGCGGCUUGACCCU
rnacentral:rRNA from 1 species